CUGCGGAAGGAUCAUUGUCGAAUCCUCAAACGAAAACCCGCGAACAUGUUCAAAAAUUCGCGUGGGGCGUCGGGGUAAAACCUGCGCCCCUCGCCACCUGCCCGGCCGAACGGCAACCAUACUGGUCUGUCGGUCGCGUUGGGCAACCGAAACAAAAACCGGCGCGGGAAGCGCCAAGGACUUUACAAAAUGGGAUGCCUUCCUGCGGAGAGGGGCCGUUCGCGGAUUCCUCGCCGUGGGGCUCGAGAGGCACCUCCAAACGAAACAUUACACGACUCUCGGCAACGGAUAUCUAGGCUCUCGCAUCGAUGAAGAACGUAGCAAACUGCGAUACUUGGUGUGAAUUGCAGAAUCCCGUGAACCAUCGAGUCUUUGAACGCAAGUUGCGCCCGAAGCCAUUAGGCCGAGGGCACGUCUGCCUGGGCGUCACGCAUCGCGUCGCCCCCCCCCACCCUCGCCCCGAAAGGGUCGCGGGCAGAGCGGGGGGCGGAAGUUGGCUUCCCGUGCUCCGUCGCGGCCAGCCUAAAAAAUGGUUCCCUCGCCGCGGACGUCGCGACAAGUGGUGGUCAUUGAGAUUGAACGCAAGUCGCCGGCAAGCCGUGUCGAGGAGAGCGCUUGGACCCUGUGCAUGCGAGUCCCUCGUCGAGGGACGACCGGCACGACCAGCGACCCCAGGUCAGGCGGGGCUACCCGCUGAGUUUUG
rnacentral:misc_RNA from 1 species